rnacentral:rRNA from 1 species
UACGGAGGUUGCAAGCGUUAUCCGGAUUUAUUGGGUUUAAAGGGUGCGUAGGCGGGUUUAUAAGUCAGCGGUGAAAGACUGUCGCUUAACGAUAGCAUUGCCGUUGAUACUGUAGAUCUUGAGUACAUUUGAGGUGGGCGGAAUGAGUAGUGUAGCGGUGAAAUGCUUAGAUAUUACUCAGAACACCAAUUGCGAAGGCAGCUCACUAAACUGUAACUGACGCUGAGGCACGAAAGCGUGGGGAUCAAACAGG